rnacentral:rRNA from 1 species
AGGGUGAACCUGCGGAAGGAUCAUUACCGAGUGCGGGCCCUCGCGGCCCAACCUCCCACCCUUGUCUCUAUACACCUGUUGCUUUGGCGGGCCCACCGGGGCCACCUGGUCGCCGGGGGACGCACGUCCCCGGGCCCGCGCCCGCCGAAGCGCUCUGUGAACCCUGAUGAAGAUGGGCUGUCUGAGUACUAUGAAAAUUGUCAAAACUUUCAACAAUGGAUCUCUUGGUUCCGGCAUCGAUGAAGAACGCAGCGAAAUGCGAUAAGUAAUGUGAAUUGCAGAAUUCCGUGAAUCAUCGAAUCUUUGAACGCACAUUGCGCCCCCUGGCAUUCCGGGGGGCAUGCCUGUCCGAGCGUCAUUUCUGCCCUCAAGCACGGCUUGUGUGUUGGGUGUGGUCCCCCCGGGGACCUGCCCGAAAGGCAGCGGCGACGUCCGUCUGGUCCUCGAGCGUAUGGGGCUCUGUCACUCGCUCGGGAGGGACCUGCGGGGGUUGGUCACCACCAUG